GGGGCGGGUUCAGGAUUUUUGCAGCCUGGAAGCUGUUCUCUUCCUGCUCCAAACCAGAGAGACACAGUGAACCACCACCUCUCCCUGCAGCAUGCACGGAUAUAGGUCACAGAAGGCCUACUGACUCCAACAAAAGUACUUGAAGUCCAUGGAAAACCUCACAAAUCCUCCAGGAAGUUAAAGAGGUGGUGAUAUUAAAGCAAACGCUUUCCUGCUGUCCAAACAGACACGCUGUGGUUCUGAAUUCUGAUGGAAAGGAUAUCACCUUGGUACUCUCAUUUAGGUAUUAUUGCCAGGCAGCUUUCUGAGGAAUGACAUCUCGUUAGACCGGGCUCCUCUGGUAGAAAUGUGCCAGCGACAGACAUUCUGACUUCACUUCCAUGAGAACUCUCAACCACAGAGAACCAAGAUGGCCCGAGGGCUGGAAUCAGAACAAGACCCACUGUGUGCUCCUCCGGGAAGAUGCUCCCCUGGAACCUGGACAUUUCAUACAUAGGUAUGAAAUCCACAGAAGCAUGGGACACAGCAAGCUGGGAAUAUGGGAGAAGAAUACGUUCCCGUCGUGUUGUCAGGCUUAACCAUAAGACUUGUCUUGACCAGUGAAUCGCUGGAAGAAGUGAUGUGAAUCACCUUUGGCAGAAGCUUUAGGAACCCAUGUGAGGUCCUUUUUUCCUUGUGCCCUGGUGACUGGCAAUAGUCUACGUUGGUGGCUGCUCCAUCAAGCCUGAGACUCAAAGUGAGGAUGAUGGCAACAGCAGAGCCCCAAGCCAUCUUUCUCGAACUGUCACAGAAAUGAGAAAUCAACCUUUAGGCUACUGGAGCUGGAAGGUUGUUUAUUACUGUGGUGUACCCUGGUUUAUCCCGAUUGACACAAAGACUCAAUAUUCUUCUAUUGAGUGCGGGAUUGUGUAAUCCACCAAAUACUGAAGAGAUGCUACAGAUGACAUCCCUCUUUGCUUCUUCCAUUUCAACAUAAGGUAAUAUAUUUGCAGAGACCAUUGUGCCUUUAGCUUCACCCCCCACUUCUAUUGUUGUUUCUCUAUCUUCUACUAUACCUCUUUAUCUAUUAUGUUUGAGGUGUUAAGACUCAUUCUUUUAUUCUGUAGGAAAGCGUCACCCAUGCUUGGCCCAAAGGUCUGCAAAAUCACAUAUCAUCUCUUUCAUUAUAGGCAUUGAGCCAUUUUUUUAAACACAUAAUAUUCAACAAAUGAUGGUCUCACUUCCAGUGCAUAAUAAAAAAAUAGAAAACCCAAUUCCUUUUCUGCCUAUGCCUGUAGAAACAGAC